GAAUGUAGAAUUCAGAGGAAGAAGUUAUAGAGGGUUGAAGUUAGCACAUCCAAAUCAAAGGCCAUAAGUAAGUUAUUUUAUUCAUAGUAAUGGUUUGAGCCAUAUCUUAAGUUUUUGGAUAAAUUUUUAGUUAAAACCUUUUAGAGAAGGUAGAUUAUUAUGUUAAAAAGUCAUAUAUAUAAAUUUUGUGGCAUUUAAGUACUUAGUUUGUGAGAUAUGAAGAAAUUUGCAUGUAGAUGUAUAAAUACUAGGAUUUGAAGCUACUAUUAGGAUUUUGGUGAUAUCUUAAGUUCUGCAACAAAUUUGUAAUUAAAAUUUGUUGUAGUAGUUGUUAAAAGUACAUCAAUACUUCAUCUAAAAUUUGAGUGUGUUUGAAUAGUCCAAUUGAAAGAUGUAAAUUUUUGAAGUUCAAGAAUAAUACCCUAUAAGGAUAUAUAAGGAUUUAGAAGUUUUAUCAUAUUUUGG
rnacentral:lncRNA from 1 species